rnacentral:rRNA from 1 species
GGGUCAGUAGGUUGGUCGUGCCACCGGUACGUACUGGUCUCACUGAUUCCUCCUUCCUGAAGAGCCGUAAUGCCAUUAAUUUGGUGUUGCGGGGAAACAGGACUGUUACUUUGAAAAUAUUAGAGUGUUUAAAGCAAGCUAACGCUUGAAUACAUUAGCAUGGAAUAAUGAAAUAGGACGAUCGAUCCUAUUUUGUUGGUUUCUAGGAUUGACGUA